rnacentral:lncRNA from 1 species
UGACUUCAUUUACAACUAACUCCAAAUUUCAUUUGAGUUUUGAAAGAAAUUUGAGUUGAAUUUAACAGUAUUUUACAUCUUAUCUUCUUUCUUCUUCUUUCUUCUUCUUCCGUUAUUUCCAUAACAGUCUGCAACAUGGCACUGUUAUGCUUCACCAUUGAUGAAGCUUGAUCAAUCACAAUAUGGUAUCAUUCGCCAAUCCGAUCCUCUUUCCGCUGCUAUCCAACUGAAUUUUUUUUUCAACAUCAUUUCAUUUCUCUUUUUCAAUUCUUU